GGUCCGUUAGUCUAGUGGUUAGGACAUUGGAUUUUGAUCAUUCCCCAUAGAAUCUCACAUUCCAGGAACGUCGGUUCAAUUCCGACACGGACCU
rnacentral:tRNA from 1 species